rnacentral:tRNA from 1 species
GGUCCCUUCGUCUAGUGGUUAGGACAUCAGGUUCUCAUCCUGGUAACAGGGGUUCGAUUCCCCUAGGGACUG